rnacentral:rRNA from 1 species
CAGCAGCCGCGGUAAUACGGAGGGUCCAAGCGUUAUCCGGAAUCAUUGGGUUUAAAGGGUCCGUAGGCGGGACAAUCAGUCAGUGGUGAAAGUUUGCGGCUCAACCGUAAAAUUGCCAUUGAUACUGUUGUUCUUGAGUGCUUGUGAAGUGGUUAGAAUGAGUAGUGUAGCGGUGAAAUGCAUAGAUAUUACUCAGAAUACCGAUUGCGAAGGCAGAUCACUAACAAUUCACUGACGCUGAUGGACGAAAGCGUAGGUAGCGAACAGGAUUAGAUACCCUGGUAGUCUACGCCGUAAACGAUGGUUACUAGCUGUUCGGACUAAUUGCGGUCUGAGUGGCUAAGCGAAAGUGAUAAGUAACCCACCUGGGGAGUACGUUCGCAAGAAUGAAACUCAAAGGAAUUGACGGGGGCCCGCACAAGCGGUGGAGCAUGUGGUUUAAUUCGAUGAUACGCGAGGAACCUUACCAGGGCUUAAAUGCAGUUUGACAGGUUUUGAAACAUCUUUUUCUUCGGACAAAUUGCAAGGUGCUGCAUGGUUGUCGUCAGCUCGUGCCGUGAGGUGUCAGGUUAAGUCCUAUAACGAGCGCAACCCCUUUGUUUAGUUACCAGCAUGUAGUGAUGGGGACUCUAGACAUACUGCCAGUGUAAACUGUGAGGAAGGUGGGGAUGACGUCAAAUCAUCACGGCCCUUACGUCCUGGGCUACACACGUGCUACAAUGGUAGGGACAGAGAGCAGCCACUGGGUGACCAGGAGCGAAUCUACAAACCCUAUCACAGUUCGGAUCGCAGUCUGCAACUCGACUGCGUGAAGCUGGAAUCGCUAGUAAUCGCAUAUCAGCCAUGAUGCGGUGAAUACGUUCCCGGGCCUUGUACACACCGCCCGUCAAGCCAUGGAAGCUGGGGGUACCUGAAGUCGGUCACCGCAAGGAGCCGCCUAGGGUAAAACUAGUAACUGGGGCUAAGUCGUAACAAGGUAGCCGUA